UUCUGUUAGUCGUGGCAGAGCUCGUAGC
rnacentral:sRNA from 1 species